UACAGAGACUGCAAGCGUUAUUCGGAUUCACUGGGCGUAAAGGGUGCGCAGGCGGUUGGGUGUGUCAGAUGUGAAAUCCCGAGGCUCAACCUCGGAACUGCGUCUGAAACUACUCGACUAGAGUACUGGAGAGGGUAACGGAAUUCACGGUGUAGCAGUGAAAUGCGUAGAUAUCGGGAGGAACACCAGUGGCGAAGGCGGCGUCUGGGAAGAUACUGACGCUGAGGUGCGAAAGCGUGGGGAGCAAACAGGG
rnacentral:rRNA from 1 species